CACACUACGUUUACAGAUCACACAAUAUCUAAAAUCCGCGAUGCUAUUCUGCUGACCACAGGUGUGCCUGUGACCACGGCUUUCAGCGGAAUAUCAAUGCGAGAACAAAUGUACAUUCGAACCUUACGCAAACGCUUAAUGCGAAAGUGAUCCGAGGAAAUUUAUGGAGCCCAAAUUGGUUAUAAUUUAGCAGAACUCAAUCCGGACUUGAGCUUCCCACAUAGAAACUUAGAGAAAAAGGGUUCCAAAAUGGCAUCAACUUAAUGAUUUUGAAGUAAUAACUUACUACUAUG
rnacentral:sRNA from 1 species